rnacentral:rRNA from 1 species
CCUACGGGAGGCAGCAGUGGGGAAUAUUGCACAAUGGGGGAAACCCUGAUGCAGCAACGCCGCGUGAAGGAAGACGGUUUUCGGAUUGUAAACUUCUGUUCUUAGUGAAGAAUAAUGACGGUAGCUAAGGAGCAAGCCACGGCUAACUACGUGCCAGCAGCCGCGGUAAUACGUAGGUGGCAAGCGUUGUCCGGAAUUACUGGGUGUAAAGGGAGCGCAGGCGGGAAGCCAAGUCAGCUGUGAAAACUACGGGCUUAACUUGUAGACUGCAGUUGAAACUGGUUUUCUUGAGUGAAGUAGAGGUUGGCGGAAUGCCGGGUGUAGCGGUGAAAUGCGUAGAUAUUCGGAGGAACCCCGGUUGCGAAGGCGGCCAGCUGGGUUCUGACUGACGCUGAGGCACGAAAGCGUGGGGAGCGAACAGGAUUAGAUACCCUGGUAGUC